rnacentral:rRNA from 1 species
UACAGAGGAGCCAAGCGUUGUCCGGAAUUAUUGGGCGUAAAGAGCGCGUAGGCGGUCCGGUAAGUCGGUUGUGAAAGUCGGGGGGCUCAACCCUCGGAUGCCGAUCGAUACUGUCGGGCUAGAGUCCGGAAGAGGCGAGUGGAAUUCCUGGUGUAGCGGUGAAAUGCGCAGAUAUCAGGAGGAACACCAAUGGCGAAGGCAGCUCGCUGGGACGGUACUGACGCUGAGGAGCGAAAGCGUGGGGAGCGAACAGG